GGGAAAAGCAAAAAUAUUGCAGGAAAACACAUGAGGUAUCUACCAAAAAGAAAUAAAAAAAUGCUUAAACAGAUUAGGACCUGCAAAUUUAGCAGAAACUUUUCUCCUUGGGUGUGCAGUAACUUGACACUAAGACCACAAAGGAGGUUGCUUGACACUUUUAGAAUCGAGCACGGUGAGACGCUAUCUGAAUCGGAAUGGCUUUG
rnacentral:misc_RNA from 1 species